AAAGUUCACGUUACUAUCUAUAUACUGCUAAAACUCUGAGAUUAUUUGUGUGUGGGCUUGUCUGUAAUUAAAUACAGCAAAAACGGCGCACAAUAGCGCCAUAUUUGUAAUAAAAUGAGAAUAAAAACAGAAUAAAACAAGUUUCGUUAAAAUC